GGGUUUCUUUGGGACGGAUGCGGUCGGCCCCGUCUUUGCGCUUUACGCAACAGGUAGGGAUGCCAGGAGCUGGCGGCGGCGGCACGGAGCCGCAGCCAGGAGGUUUCGGGGGGCUUUUUUUGUUACGUUCUCUGGAAAAGUGCGAAGGGGAGGGGGAGGAGAACCAACAGUUUUCCGAAAUUCCCCUUCAGUUGUUUAUUUAUGUACUUCCCGUGUCCAUGAAAAACGGGUUCGUUUCGCAACUCCGGAGUUUUAUAUUGUUUUCUAUCUACUUUUUACCCCCCUUUUCUUUCUUUUAAAGUUAUUUUUCUUUAUGUCCUGCGUUUGCCCGUCUCAUUCCGGCAGAUCAAACUGUCCGAAAGCAGAUCCCCAGAGGCUUGUCCUCACUGACAGUCGGGGGAAUCCAAACAAAGAGGUGCAUCUACCGGAAAUAAUGAUUUGAGAGAUGGUUCUCUCCCUUUCCACCCCCCACUCCCCCGCCUUGAAUUAAAUUGUUUUCUUUUUCUGGGAGGUUCAGUUCGAGGGAAGUUUUGCGCCGGAGCCGGGGUCGGGGCUGAGGAGGGAUGGAGCAGACGGAAAGUUGCGGUGGUGGGAGGAGGCGGGGGGCGAGGGCAGUACGGGACCCCGGCGGCGCCCGGACCGCGGGGGGAGCAGGGGCGCGGGGGACCUGCCGCCGCUGCCGGCUCUUUGUCUGCUCGGGCAACUUGAACAAAAGGAGAAACUCGGAUGAACUCUCCAUCUCUUCCUCGCCUCUCCCGGGUAAACUCAUCUUCGGCAACUUUAUCGGAAGAGAUUUGCUCAACUUUCUUGGAGCUCUCCCGCCGCUUAAAAGCAAAGAGCCCCGCCGUAGGCUUCUGAGGAAAUCUAGUUUCGCAGUUUAGAGAAAGGAGAAGGUCACAACAUGAUUGUUGGGAAAAUGGGAUGGUUGCCAGAACAUCAGUGUGUGAUGGGUGCCAUAUUGCAUUACUCUUCAAAUGGUGGAAUACAGCUUGGGAUUCCUCAGGGCUGCUUGUUGUGGUUCCAACUGGACCAUACAGCUGCUUAAUGUCUUAGCUUAGUUUGGAUUCAUACUAAUGGUUAAUGGCCUCCUGCGGGAAGUGGAAGAGCCCCAUGCUGAAACUUGUGGAUAUUGUGGAACGUGCUGCUGAGACCCAUUUGGAUUAUAUCACCAUCUGACACCAAGGUUCUGCAGCUGAUGAAAGGAGUUUACCAGAUCUUUUUAUGUGGUUGCUGAGGCAUUGCCCUGGGAGAGCAGUAAUGAGGGAUGGAUGAACAGAACACACUCCAGGCUUGGGUCACACAGAAAUGUGAGGAUUUACACUUCUGAAAUAGAUGUGAAUGGGAUUGAAGGAAUUACGCGGAGGAUUAUGAACUCCCCUUCUUCCUGAUCCGGGAAAGAUGAAGUCCUGCUCUGAGACCACCUCUGGUUAUGAUCCACAUGUGCUACUGAAGCUGGCUAGAAUGGUGUGACAAAUGACUUCACUUCUUAUUUGUUUGAUGUUUCCUAGAGAACUCCAAACACAGCUGAGGACAUACUUGACUCUGAUGCAGUGAUACAGAUACAUCUAAAUAUGAGCAAAAUGAAGCUUGCAAUGCUUAUGAUUGUGUAUUUUACUCUGGCAUUUAUGUAACACUUCAGAUUAUUGUGCUAGCAUUUCAGAUGCUUCAGUUUCUCCUCAUCACCAUUGUCCUUAAAACUGGCUCUGUAAAUAUUGGGCCAGAAGCAAGAGAUGCAUUGGAGCUUUUUUAUGUAAUCCCUAUAGCAGGGAUUGUCCAGAUUAGGUCUCUACAGAGAGGGCAUUUGGCUUUCAGACCUGUACUUUAUUUACACAUGGAGUAACCUCAUCAAGUGAGGGUGGUGUGCUCUUACUGCUGCUCAUCACAGCCUUGCAGGGGGGAAAAGGAGGCUGGCAGAUCUCUGUGUGAUAUCAUUUACAGGACACUGGAGAUGGUGGAAGAACCAGAAAGCUACCCUGCUCUUCCAUGGUGUAAACUACUGCUGAAAAUCAUAAAGAAGAAGAAAAAAACCUUGAUUUGUAGUUCUGAAUAAAGUGACAUUAAGAGGACAGAUGCUUCCUUGUCACAUGAUACUUAAGAGAUUCUGAUAAUGUAUCCAAAGCAACUCCAUCUUCAAGGGGAAAAAAAGAAAAUCAUGCCAAAUCUGAUAGUCUUCUGAUGUGUUCCGUUAGUUGUGGAUUUCCACAAGGAUUCUUCAAGCCCAAAACUAAUUAUUAUGAAAAGCAGUGGCCUUAUUCAAGAUGUCACAAGGUAACAGAAGCAUGUCAAAGUGGUACAGUUUGUGCUGAAAUCUAACUAUUCUACAGCAGCUGAAAGGGUUGAAGAUAACCCUCUUCAUCAGAGGUAUAUUAGAAAUUAUUUGUAACAGCGGCUCCAGUGUUUGGCCUAUGGUCUUCAGAGAAGUUUAGAAAAGUAUUUUCACACAGUAUGUGCCCAAAGUUUUUUUUUCAAACUAUCCUCUGCAUUUUAUUUAAGUCAUGUAAAAUUUGUAACUGGAGACUACAGACCAACUGCCCAUCCAAAGUAAGCAGCAAUAUUAGCUGGAGAAGAAGGAAUGAAAACCAGAUUAAGCUGCUAGAAUAUUUUCUUUCAUUUGUAUGACAGUGCUUUAUGAGAGUUCCAGCUGAAAAUGAGGGCCUAUAUAGUUUGAUUCAAUACAAAAGCAGUGCACAGUGUGUAGAGAGAACACAGAGAGUACAUGCAGUAAUUGUUUGACCUGAGAUAUUUGUAUAAAGAGUUGUGGGAAAAAGAAGCAAUAAAGGUGUUGAUUCUGUUACAAUUAAAAUAAAAGUACAUGAAGUUUUACUUUAAUUCCUCUAAUUUUGCUUUUUAUUUGAGAAGGGUGUGAGAAGUUUGAUUUUAAUCUGGACUAGCCUAAAGCAGCUGCGUUAUUUCAACAUGCUUUUACUUUCAGGCUCUGUAAUAUGGUAGUCUAUGACAAGAGAAGAAUGACAGCCUAGAAAGAGCAAAUGUUCCCUUGAUGAGCACCACCAAAGUUUUUAUUGACCCCAUGGAACACUUUCCCUAAGCAGGCAAUUCAGCUUCUCAAAAUAGUAGCUGUAAUGAUGGUCAGUAACAUUUACAUGCGUAAAAUGGAUAAUUCCUCACUUAGGAUGAAUUUAGACCUGCUGUAGUGGGUUUAACUUUGAAUUCAAAUGAUUUGCACAUGCCUGUGUCAUGGCAGAGUGUGAUCACCUCAGCUUUUUAAAGUUAGAUUGUUGAAGAUAUUGAAGCAAAUAUUUUGGAAAUAUAUUUCCUAAUCAUAGAAUUCCUUUUUCACUAAGGAUGUGGCUUUGAUCAAUUAUUUAUUUAACUGUUCUCAAACAUAUUUACACUUUUCAAAACCUUUCUUUGUUCAGUUUGUGCCCAAACUGCAUAUCCUUGUCACCAGCUUCUGCAGAAAGUCUGAGGGAAGUGGCAGCUGCAGUUCUGUGCAGCUCCAAAAGAUGAAACAACCUGAGGGAAACAAGUAUGAGAUUUGAUUUUUUUAUCUCCUUUUAUUUUGUGAGUGUUCACUGCAUUAGAAUAUCCUCACCAGUAACCCUCCUGCAGUUAUCAAAUGUCUCAGCUUUGUUUCAGUGCUUAACCAGUUGUA